rnacentral:rRNA from 1 species
GACGAACGCUGGCGGCGUGCUUAACACAUGCAAGUCGAACGGUAAGGCCCUUUCUGGGGUACACGAGUGGCGAACGGGUGGGUAACACGUGAGUAACUUGCCCACAACUUUGGGAUAACGCUAGGAAUCUGGCGCUAUUUCUGGCUAUGUAGGACUUCUGCCUGCUGGGGGUUGGAAAGCUACGGUGGUUGUGUGUGGAUUGGCGGCCUGUCUGCUUGUUGGUUGGGUAGUGGCCUACCAAGGCGGGGGCGGGUAGCCGGCCUGAGUGGGUGACCGGCCACAUUGGGACUGGGAUACGGCCCAGGCUCCUACGGGGGGCAGCAGUGGGGAAUAUUUCACCAUGGGCGCGAGCCUGAGGCAGCAACGCCGCGGGCGGGAUUGCGGCCUUCGGGUUGUAAACCGCUUUCAGCAUGGACCGAGCUGUUAGUGACGGUACCUGCAGAAGAAGCACCGGCUAACUACGUG